UACGUAGGGUGCGGAGCGUUGUCCGGAAUUAUUGGCGUAAGAGCUACGUAGGCGGUUUGUCGCGUUCGACUGUGGAAAACCUAACAGCUUAACUGUGGGCUUGCAGUCGAUACGGGCAGACUUGAGUUCGGUAGGGGAGACUGGAAUUCCUGGUGUAGCGGUGAAAUGCGCAGAUAUCAGGAGGAACACCGGUGGCGAAGGCGGGUCUCUGGGCCGAUACUGACGUGAGGAGCGAAAGCGUGGGGAGCGAACAGG
rnacentral:rRNA from 1 species